rnacentral:rRNA from 1 species
ACGGGUGAGUAAUAUAUCGGAACGUGCCCUGGAGUGGGGGAUAACGCAGCGAAAGUUGCGCUAAUACCGCAUACGAUCUAAGGAUGAAAGCAGGGGACCGCAAGGCCUUGUGCUCCUGGAGCGGCCGAUAUCUGAUUAGCUAGUUGGUGGGGUAAAGGCCUACCAAGGCAUCGAUCAGUAGCUGGUCUGAGAGGACGACCAGCCACACUGGAACUGAGACACGGUCCAGACUCCUACGGGAGGCAGCAGUGGGGAAUUUUGGACAAUGGGCGCAAGCCUGAUCCAGCAAUGCCGCGUGAGUGAAGAAGGCCUUCGGGUUGUAAAGCUCUUUUGUCAGGGAAGAAACGGUCGUGGCUAAUAUCCAUGGCUAAUGACGGUACCUGAAGAAUAAGCACCGGCUAACUACGUGCCAGCAGCCGCGGUAAUACGUAAGGUGCAAGCGUUAAUCGGAAUUACUGGGCGUAAAGCGUGCGCAGGCGGUUUUGUAAGUCUGUCGUGAAAUCCCCGGGCUCAACCUGGGAAUUGCGAUGGAGACUGCAAGGCUAGAAUCUGGCAGAGGGGGGUAGAAUUCCACGUGUAGCAGU